GGCACAGUGGUCUAAUGGUAAGACUCCCCACUAUGUAGAGACCUGCUCGUUUCACGCAGAGGGUGGGAUCUGGGUUCAACUCCCAGCUGAGCCA